rnacentral:rRNA from 1 species
UACGUAGGCAGCAAGCGUUGUUCGGAAUUACUGGGCGUAAAGAGUGUGUAGGCGGUUUUCUAAGUUUGGUGUGAAAUCUCCCGGCUUAACUGGGAGGGUGCGCCGGAAACUGGAGGACUGGAGUGCCGGAGAGGAUAGCGGAAUUCCUGGUGUAGCGGUGAAAUGCGUAGAUAUCAGGAGGAACACCGAUGGCGAAGGCAGAUCUCUGGGCCGUAACUGACGCUGAGGAGCGAAAGCGUGGGGAGCGAACAGG